UACGAAGGGUGCAAGCGUUAAUCGGAAUUACUGGGCGUAAAGCGCGCGUAGGUGGUUCAGUAAGUUGGAAGUGAAAUCCCCGGGCUCAACCUGGGAACUGCUUUCAAAACUGCUGAGCUAGAGUACGGUAGAGGGUGGUGGAAUUUCCUGUGUAGCGGUGAAAUGCGUAGAUAUAGGAAGGAACACCAGUGGCGAAGGCGACCACCUGGACUGAUACUGACACUGAGGUGCGAAAGCGUGGGGAGCAAACAGA
rnacentral:rRNA from 1 species